rnacentral:rRNA from 1 species
GACGCUGGCGGCGUGCUUACACAUGCAAGGUCAAACGGGGUCCAUGGAGUAGCACAUACUCCGGAAGACCUAGAGGCGAACGGGUGCGUAACACGUGAGAAACCAACCCCGGUCUCUGGGAUAACAGUGUGGAAACACCUGCUAAUACCGGAUGCCGUCGUGUCCUCGCAUGGGGAUAUGACGAAAGUGGCUACCGGAUCGUGGACGGUCUCGCGGCCUAUCAGCUUGUUGGAGAGGUAACGGCUCACCAAGGGCAUCGACGGGUAGCUGGUCUGAGAGGAUGAUCAGCCACACUGGGACUGAGACACGGCCCAGACUCCUACGGGAGGCAGCAGUGGGGAAUCUUGCGCAAUGGGCGAAAGCCUGACGCAGCAACGCCGCGUGCGGGAUGAAGGCCUUCGGGUUGUAAACCGCUUUUACCAGGAAGGAAAAUGACAGUACCUGGGAGAAUAAAGGUGCGGCAACUACGUGCCAGGCAGGCCGCGGGUGACACGUAGGCACCAAAGCGUUUGUCCGGGAAUUAUUGGGGGCGUAAAAGGAGCCUCGUAAGCGCCGGGUUUCAAGUAAACGUCGCGGGUGUGAAAGAACUCUUGGGGCUUAAGACCCAGACGACGCCAACCCGAAUACU